UAGGUUGAUGCUCGCUGGUUUGAGCACUUAGCUGUUAACUAAGAAUUCGCAGGAUCGAAGCCUGCCUACCUAG
rnacentral:tRNA from 1 species